GCUGGCGGGUGGGGUAACGGCCUACCGAGGGGGAUUACGUGGAAAGUGCCCAAGACGGCGACCCGGCCAUACUGGGCAUGAAACACCACCGAGACUCAUGCGGGUGGCUGCAGAGGGGAAUGUUGCUCAAUGUGCGAAAACCUGACGCAGAGACGCCUCGUGGGGGGUGACGGCCCUUGGGUUUUAAACCUUUUUUAGCACCACCGCAAGUUUCCGUUUCUCCUGACGACGUCGGUAAGGCGGGGAAUACGGACCGGAUCAGUACUUACCCCGCCGGCGUUGUAAAUACGUAGGGUUCCGAGCGGCGUCCGGAAUUUUUUGGCCUAAAAAUUUCGUAGACGGGCUGGUCGCGUCUGUUUGAAAGACCGGGGGGUUAAUUCCGGUUCUGCAGUGGAUACCGGGCAUGCUAGAGGUAGGUAGGGGAGAGGGGAACUCCUGUUGUAGCAAAGAAAUGCGCAGAUAUCAGGAGGAACACCGGUGGGGAAGGCGGGUCUCUGGGCCUUACCUGACGCUGAGGAGCGAAAGCAUGGGGAGGAACAGGAUUAGAUACCCUGGUAGUCCA
rnacentral:rRNA from 1 species